rnacentral:rRNA from 1 species
UAAUAAAUCUCUCUCUAUCCUUGAUGAUAGAAAAAAAAGAGAUAAAUUAUUACGGGUCCUGGUGAUUCUUUUUUUUUUUUU